CUAAAAAUAACAUUGUCAGGUUGCAUUAAGAGCAAAGCUGCUUUCUCCAUUAUAGUAUAGAUAGAAUAUCAUUAAACCAUCCCAGGCAUAGACUGACAUCAAUGCUUUAAAGGCAUCAUUGCAUAUUAGGCAAUGCUAAACACACCAUAUAAAGAUUUAAACAAUCUUCUCCCUCUCAAGGGUUGAAAGAAUGAAGUAUCACGAAUGAGAAAGGAUAUUACAAAUAUCGGUUGAGAUUUACAAUGAAAUCUGAUGAACUUGUUAUACAAAUAUUUAUGAUGAAAUCUCAAGAGGAGGACCAUUGCUUAAGGCCAGUCAAAGAAUCUACAGGCUCAGGAUUACCCAAACUAAAAUGGACACAACAUGGAUGAAGAGUAAGGAGAGGAAACAAAAAUAUCUUUAUAAACUUUAAAGUGGCCAUAUGAAACCAUUUCAUCAAAUUACCAGAAACCACAGAAAUAAAACAAACACAAAAUGCAAGUCAUUUGACCGCGACCAUACUGGAGCACCACCUUUAGUCGAACAAUUCACCCCCAGGACUUAUUUUUUGUAAGCCUAGUACUUAUUCUAUUGGUUUCUUUUGCCAAACCGCUAAGUUGUGGGGACAUAAACACACCAGCAUCGGUUGUCAAGCAAUGGUAGGGGCAACAGAUGCAGAUGCACACACAAACAUACACACACACACACGCACGCAUACACACACACACAUACAUAUAUAUGCAUGUGUGUAUGUGUGUGUGUGUGUGUGUGAGUGUGUGUGUGUGUGUACAUGUAUAAAUACGACAGGCUUCCUUCACUUUCUGUCUACCAAAUCCACUCACAAGGCUUUGAUUGGCCUGAGGCUAUAGUAGAAGACACUUGCCCAAGGUGCCAUGCAGUGGGACUGAACCUGGAUUUGUGUGGUUGGUAAGCAAGCUACUAACCACACACACAUAUAUAUAUGAUCUUUUCUCAAAAGCUUGACAAAAACAAAGGAGUAAUCAAUGAAUACAUGCUUAUAAUUUUUAAUUAGCUGGAUGCAAACUGAAAUGACUCAUAUAACAGAGAAUCAAAUAUUGAAUAUCUGCUUGACUCACAUUUCCUCAAGCAUACAGUCUUGUUGACACUUAGGUACAUUGAUCAGUGUUUUAUACACUUACAUGAUUCUGUCGAAUAAGGCACUUGAAUUGUAUCGCUAAAAUCAUAUUUUUAAUCCUAACAAUGCUUGUGUCAGCCUUUCAGAUCUUUGUUUACUUUCAUUGUGAAAAUUCUGUUUAUUGAUUCUGUAUUUCUACUCCCUUAACCUGAAAGUGGUGAACCUUGCUCAGUUCAAUCAGGCCAUUUAAGUAACAUAACUAGCUUCCCCCUCUCACUCUCUGGGAGAGAGGCACAAGCACAUACACAGACAUAUACACACACGGCAGUAACUUCCACCUACCAAAUUCAAUCACAAAGCUUCGCAAUGACAUAAAUUAUAUAGAGUUUUUCUUUUUCAUAAUUAUCAAAUGUUAAUAACAAAUACAGUUACAUUUUUAAAGUAAAUGGAAACUUAAAUUCCUAAUAUAAUAUAGAAUAAAAAAAGCAAAUAUGUGAUAGGUUUGAACUCAAAUGGUGUGGUACUGUGAGAAUAAGAUAUUUAAAUUUACAUUACUAAGAUAACAUUUAUUAUCCCAACAUGCAUAUGUCAUCUUUUCGGAUGUUUCAUCACAUUCAUGUCAGGGAGCUAAGUGUGAGAUUGAAUUGUUCAAAAUUUCUUGAUUGAUGAAAGUUAAUAAACAUAUGAGAGGAUGACACAUACCUGCUAAGAUGAAAAUAUGGACUCAUUGACAUGUAUUAAAGUUACUUAAUUCAGCAGUGGUAUUGUAAAGUGAAUAUAUAUAUAGAAUAGUGGUACAUGUGUCCAGUUUGGAGAUGUGGGAUUACAUAGCACUGGAUAUUCCCUAUUUGAUUAUAUGACAUGCAAAACAUUUCAAUUUGCAUCUACACUUAAGUUUUAAAAUAUAUGUUCAGCGUUGCUCUUCAAUAGUUUGAUAGAAUAUGUCCAUCUGACACACCUAAAGGAUUAUUAUUUUAACCAAACAUAUCUGUGCAGUCAUAACCUAGCUUGCCUGUUAGAUAGAUAGUGUAUAUGUGGAGAUAUCUGAAAUAAGAGACCUAAAUUUUUCAAGCAACAGCAAUCGUUGUGCACACUCAUCAAGUUGAAAAAGCUUCAAAAUGCAAUUUCUGAUUGAAUGCCAUUUGGAACAUAGGAAAAAGUCAGUAAUGACAACUCAGAAAACUGAAACAAGAUAAUGGAGGUUGAUUUGUCUUAUAUUCUCUGAUUGAUGAUACCGAAACCUUCUCUCUGUAAAAUAUAUAAUUUGGCCCACAGGAAAGAAAGCUAGUCAUAUUUAAAAGUGUUUCCCAAACUACCUGUGAUGAAACUUAACCUUUUUGACAUAAUUGUCUUAUUAUUUGAAAUCUGAAAGCUUGAAGUUUCAAACUGUUUAUUGUGGGAUUUUGUAUUGUGUGAAUUAUUUUGCUUUAUCAAAAAAUACACAUUUGAAUAUUAUUUCUUGCAUUCUUGUCAACAUGGCAAACGGAAACAUUUUAUAACAAACUCU